GUGCCCACCUGCCAGCACCUAUACUAAAGUUGGAACAAUACAGAGAAGACUAGCAAGGCCGCGGCACAAGGAUGACAUGCAAAUCCAUGAAGCGCUCCAUAAUUUU
ensembl:snRNA U6 U6 spliceosomal RNA